CAGAGAUGCUUUGGUGCCUUCGGGAACUGUGAGACAGGUGCUGCAUGGCUGUCGUCAGCUCGUGUUGUGAAAUGUUGGGUUAAGUCCCGCAACGAGCGCAACCCUUAUCCUUUGUUGCCAGCGGUCCGGCCGGGAACUCAAAGGAGACUGCCAGUGAUAAACUGGAGGAAGGUGGGGAUGACGUCAAGUCAUCAUGGCCCUUACGACCAGGGCUACACACGUGCUACAAUGGCGCAUACAAAGAGAAGCGACCUCGCGAGAGCAAGCGGACCUCAUAAAGUGCGUCGUAGUCCGGAUUGGAGUCUGCAACUCGACUCCAUGAAGUCGGAAUCGCUAGUAAUCGGAAUCAGAAU
rnacentral:rRNA from 1 species